rnacentral:rRNA from 1 species
AGGGCACCACCAGGAGUGGAGCCUGCGGCUUAAUUUGACUCAACACGGGAAAACUCACCCGGCCCGGACACCGUAAGGAUUGACAGACUGAGAGCUCUUUCUUAAUUCGGUGGGUGGUGGUGCAUGGCCGUUCUUAGUUGGUGGAGCGAUUUGUCUGGUUAAUUCCGAUAACGAACGAGACUCUGGCCUAUUAAAUAGACGGUAUAUCGAAAAGUAUAUCGCACUUCUUAGAGGGACAAGCGGCGUCUAGCCGCAUGAAAUAGAGCAAUAACAGGUCUGUGAUGCCCUUAGAUGUCCGGGGCUGCACGCGCGCUACACUGAAAGAAUCAGAGUGCGCUUUGCCUAGUUCGGAAGAACUGGGUAACCCAAGUAAAUUCUUUCGUGCUUGGGAUGGGGAAUUGCAAUUAUUUCCCUUAAACGAGGAAUUCCCAGUAAAUGCGGGUCAUAAGCUCGCGUUGAUUACGUCCCUGCCCUUUGUACACACCGCCCGUCGCUACUACCGAUUGGAUGACUUAGUGA